rnacentral:rRNA from 1 species
GAUCCUGGCUCAGAAUAAACGCUGGCGGCGUGUCUUAAGCAUGCAAGUCGGACGGCAAGCCGCCUUCGGGCGGCCUAGAGUGGCGGACUGGUGAGUAACACGUGGGUGAUAUACCUUUUUGGACGGGGAUAGCCCCUAGAAAUAGGGGGUAAUACCGGAUAAGGCCGUGCGGGUUGGAGCCGCACGGGGAAAGGCGCUAUGGCGCCGCCGAAAGAAUAGCCUGCGACCUAUCAGCUUGUUGGUGAGGUAAGGGCCCACCAAGG